rnacentral:lncRNA from 10 species
AGAUGAACAGAUUGAACUAUAAGGACAAAAGAGAUGGAGAAGUCAUACAAUGGAGGAAACCUGGGACCCUGAACAACUAUGUGGAACAGAGCACCCACCCCAUUUCAGUCCUAACUGAACUUUACACAGGGCUUCUUGUGGCUCUAAUAGCCUAAUCGACACAAGUCUUCUCUGGGCAUCCUUGGAGUUUCUAUGUUUAAGAUGAUGGCCACAUAAAAUGGAAAAAGCCAAGUUUAUGAAGCAGAGCCCUCCUGACCCCAUCGCCAUAUUGUUAGAUUAUGGCAUAAGCAACCAAUCAGUUUUUAUUAUGUGACUGAAAAUUUAUUUAUUUUUUUCUGCAACAGUUAGCCUACCCUGACUACUACAUUCAAUAUUUGCAAGUUUUAUUUUUUCAUGAAGACAGUGCUCUUGGGUUUAUUUUGUUUUGUUUUGUUUUGAUACCUCUACCUUUUCUAUUUGAUUGAAGCUUCACUUUGUAUUGGUAAUCCAUUCUGGCUUCCUUAUAUUGAUUUCAUAAAUUACUGAAUUGAAUUCUUGGUUCAUUUGUUUUUAUUCUGUUUGUUUGUUUAUAGUGAAAACAUGUAAACCUAUUAGUUUUAUUCUGAAUAUAUUUUACUCUGGUUCUCUGAGUAUAGCUGUGGCCACAUCCCA